rnacentral:misc_RNA from 1 species
UCCACCAAUUUACAAGCCCCCUAACGUGAAGCCACCAGUUCACAAGCCACUGCCACCUUAUGGCCACUAUCCAGGACAUCCUCCAGUAGAAAAUACUGAACUUUACAAGCCACCUCGGAAAAUAUUCCCUCCUCCAAUUCCUUAUAAAAUGUCCCCACCUUACGAGAAGCCCCCAACACCCUACAAGCCACCCUACAAGCCCCCAUCUCCUAUCCAUCCAAACAAAUGACUUAAAAUGGAUCUAUUUUAGUAUUUACAAAUAAGUGGUGCUGCAAGUGCUUAUCUCAUCUUGUAUGCCAUAUACAUCAGUUGCUACAACUGAGGAAUGCUUAGUUAUGCUGUCUUUUGUAAUUUAUGAGCAUAUCCUAAUUUCUAUAUUACAUGUAAGGCAGCCAAUGUCACUUGUAUUAAUAUUUCUUAUACACUAUUUCUAUCUAUUUUUAUUUAUCGUAUUUA